rnacentral:lncRNA from 1 species
AACCCAUUAAUACCCAAAACCCUUCACUCAAAAUUCUUUCUCCCAGAACCCAUGACCAACUCAAGUCAACCCUUUCCAAUUCCCCUUCGUUCAAAACCGUACCGUCAAAUUCAUCUCGUUUCUUCCUCAUUUGAUUUAUUAUAUUCUCAUUCCUUUUCUAUGUCCUUUCUUACUUUAUUUUCCUUACUUAUCUUCCUUAUCGAAUCCGUAAAGUAAUUGAUUUUUUACCUUAAUUAUGAGCCAAUAUAUUAGCUCCAAUUUUAGUCAAAAUUGCGGACGCGCCUGAAGAUUCACCUACUCUUCUUCCCAUUCACAGGUUCAGACUUAUCAGUUGAAUUUAGACAGAUUUGAGGUAGGCAUUUCAUUUGUUACAGAUUGGAUCAUGAUUUUGGAAGUUCAAUUACAUAUAUUUCUCUCAUGAUUUUCGGUUCAAAUUCCACCGAUUAUGUAGGUAUUUUAGUCCUUUUCUGUUAAAAUAAUCACCAGCAGCUCUUCUUCCCUAUUUCAAUACUCAAAUCUCGCUCCAAUUCUCGAAUUCCUUGUUGACAGAAUUCUUGUUUUUAUAUUUUAAAUCUUUCUUUAUUUGGAUGAUUCUUUUCCAUUAUAGUGACACGACUUAAGUCUAAUUUACUACUGUAAAUACCACUAGUUCUAUACACUAGAGGGGGGGGGGGGGGGAGGGGACCUUGGAUCACGAUUUUCACUAUAUAGCUAUUCUAUUCUCCUCUGUUCCGAGGUAAAAAUCAAGGUAGAGCUUUAGUCUUUAUCUUCGUUCGAGACAAAGCUUUAGUCUUUAUAUUUGCUCGAUACAAUCGGGGCCUAUCGAGUUCAAGUAUUGGUUUCUCAUUAUUGUUGUUCUAAUUUUUGCACGGGCUGUAGCAUAUUCGGAAGAGUAAUUGGCUUAUUUGUCACUGUUGAAGUUAAUCUUCUUAUUAUAUUAUUCCGUUCUCCAACUGAUUAGUUUUUUAAGCAAUGCAUUACUAUCCCUUGACGUGCUAGUUGUUUGUUAGAAUAGACUAGUUGUCUUCUUUAGUUUUUGUCUCUCUUUUACUUUCUUCUGCGAUUUGUUCGCGCUUGGUUAUGCUGAAUGCUGUGCGGCAUUCUUUUAAAAUGCAUACCAAGUAAAAUUCCAGGUACGUCACUUGAAUCUCCAUAUAUGCCUUCCUUCUAUGCUUGGUAUAAAAAAAUUAAGCAGAACCUUAUGGCUUGGUCAUCUAUACAUGAUGUUCUGGGACUAACCUUGCAAUUUUUAAAGUUAUCUUCCCAACUGGAUAUAUGCCACGCUUAUUUUUUUUGUUGUUGCUUAUUUUGAAUAUCUAGAUGGUCUGUAGAUUAUAUAAUAAAUAGUUAAAUACUAGAGAUGUUACCUUUAGGAUUCAAUGGUAAAUGAGGUCGACAAUCUGUUUGUGACAAAAUCUAUCUAGAUGUAUGUCUUUAAUGUGCUCUUAUAUGACUGAUAGGCAAAUGGCCUAAAUUGAAUAUUAGAUAUCAUGCUCUAAUGUGCUCUUAUAUCAUGCUUUUAGGAAAUAGCAAUAAUCAAAUUAAGUAUGUGAAAAGUUAUAAGUUUAUUCAAGAAUUGAAUGUUGGCCUGGUCGCUUAUUUCUUUCCUAUUGACAUGUAUAUUCAUAUUUGUGUGAGUUGACUUGACAGGGUCUCAAACUCGUUCAUACGCCUCUUCUCUACUUAUGAUCUCAAGAUAUGCUUUAAUUAUUUUUUUACUAUAAACACUAGUCUUGCCCGUAGGAGAUGAUAAAGAAGACCUGCUUGUUAUUUGCUUUUACAUGAAACUUCCAUAAUUGGCAUUUGAGUAGUACGUCGGUUUAAAAAAAAAAAAAAUAGUUCAUGUCUUAUUAUUGGUCUAUUUUUAGUUUUAAACUAAAGGUAGAACUUUCUUUUAUUAAAUCAUAUUUAUUAUCCUUUUAUUAGUUAUUUCAAUUUCCAAACACUUAAGGAGUUUUAUGUUUAAUCUCAUCAUUAGUUUUUGUUGGUUUUAUUACGUGAUAGGCUAUUGUCCAGUGGACUAAUAUUUCACUUUUAUUUAAAUUUUGUGAGUAUACUAUAUAUUCCGAUAACUAUUAUUUUUUACUCUAGUUGAUUCUUGGUAAAAUUUUCACUCAUUUGUUCUUAUUUCCUAUGCAUAUAGCUAUCUAGUCUAUUAAACUUGGUGUAUUGUAUAUCUGAAUAUUAAUUCAAGGAUCUUGCAUAUUUAAGAGACCACUUCAUCGCUUCAGUUAAUUUACUUAAUUCGGAGGUCAACAUGAACCCUUACUUGUGUUACUUGUUAAGUCUGUAUGUGCUCCCUUUUAUGUGACGCUAAUAAGAAUAAAAAUAGAAACUUGAGAUUUUCUUUAAGUCUAGAUCCAUCCCUCUAGAAUAGUGUCCGAAGCUUCCUGAACUAUAGGAAGGGGCGGGUAGUUUUGAGUUAGACGCGAUUUAGAAUUAAUUAGUGCACUCUUAGGUUAACAAUUUAAAGAUAGUAAUGAGGGUAGCGGACAUGAUACACAAAUUGCCCGAAUAGCCAUUGCACUUUUGGCUAUAAAAGUCUUAGCAGACUUUGCACGGGAGUUGAUCCAUCAGGCUUAAAAAUUUAGGUCCCCUUUUAUGUAACUAAGUAGGCUUUUUACGAUUUACUAUUCUUACAUUUUUUCGUUACUAGUUUUAAUUAAUUGCUUUGAUCACUUAGGAUCAAUUCACAACUCAGCAACCUACAACUUAGUUUAACCCAAUAAUCCCACAUAGCAUAAAAUUCGGUCGGGACCCACAGUUGUGGAUCUCGAAGAGUGCCUAACAUCUUGUCUUCGAGGUAAUUUGAGCCCUUACCCGAUCUUUAGUGGCGUUGACUAGUCAAACAGAGUUAUUCGCAAAUAGGUGUCCUAACGCACCUUAAAAAUUAUUAGGUGGCGACUCUUCUCUUUUAAAACCCAUUUAAAAGAGUUGUCACAUGUCGAAAGCCGCUUUUGCUAGAAAAUGGGGCGCGACAACAUGGAGACUCUGCUGGGGAUACUUAGAUUCUUACCAUAACGAAAUUUAUUUCUAUGCGGGAUUUUUGUGUGAUCGUACGAUUUACUUUCUUAUUUUAUUUGUUUACCUUUAUAUUCGUCUUAUAAUUUUACUGUUUUAUUUGUGACUUUCUUUAUAGACCCUCCUCUUCAUUCCCUUGGUUGUUUAUUUUUUUAUAAAUACCUUUAAGUAGAUUUAGCUAGUUUUCCUUUUUUUCCUUAUUUAUUUAAUUCGUAUAAUGUUAAUAUUUCUACUUAUUUUCGUACAUAUCUCUGUUUACUUGGUGAUUAUAUUUUAGUUACUCUUCAUGUACACUCUCUUCCUCUUUCCCUUAAUUGUUUAUAUUUUAAUUACUUUUUUUUUGCAUAUCCUCUUUCCCUUAGUUGUUUACACUUUAUGCAUGCCCUCUUCCCCCUUCCCUUAUUUGUUUACUUUGAAGCAUGCUUUGUUUUUUUCAUGUACAUCCUCUCUCCCUUUCCUUAUUUGUUUAUCUUUGUUUUUUUUAAAACAAAAAUGCUUUGUUUUGCUUUCUAUGCAUAUCCUACUCCAUUUCCUUAUUUGUUAUAUUACGUAUCUACAUAUUUUUCUUUACUUUAUUAGUUAAUAUGUUUUAACCAUAUAUUUUCUCCAGUUUAUUUGUUCAAAUUUUGUUGAUCUCAUUUACUUUAUAUUUUUGGUUUUAUCAUUUUGUCUUUCAAAUUGAUCCCAUGUCUAAUGUUUUCAACUAUAUUUGUUAUAUGUUGACGCUUUGAUAAUUGUCAUCCCGUUCAUAUUUCCUCCACUUGGAAAUUUUUACACUAGCGGUUGCGUGUUUUCACGACAGUGCACUCUCAAAAUUCCUUUUAAGGGAAAGUUCUGUGGGUAGGUCAGUCAGCGGUGCGCCGACGAUCACAGACUUUCCACUCCCAAGUUGUCCGCUUGGGGGAACCUUUGGUCUAGACAACCUACUCCUGUUCAAUAGAGCCCAACCAUGAUAUGAUUUUUAGAAAAAUUAUAUUUUCUAUAAACCUAGGUCGAAUCAAUAUACUUGGUAUAUUAAGUCUGAUAGUAUGACUAUGCCCAAGUCCAAAACGGUCUACGACCCUAGAACGAUGUCAUCAUAAUUUAUUUUUAUUUUUUGCGAAAUAAAUGUGCCUAAAUGUUGACCAUUUUCUCUCAAGUUGGGGGAGGGGUAUAAGCUAACCUUUUAUAAAUACAGGCAAUCAUGAAUCAAUCCAAGGCUUAUCCAAGGUUUAGCAUGGUCUGGUACAUACCUGAUUCACUAAAGGGUUGGUGGAGAGAUCUGGGCAUUCAGGGACAAGGAGAAGUACGCAAAGUGUUGGGACAUUUGCCUUCGCUUAUGGAAGUCAAGCCGUGCAAAGAACUCAUUGAGGCGGUCACUGCCUUUUGGGACAAGGAAAGAAUGGUAUUUAGAUUUGGGGAUGUUGAAUUGACACCAUUGCUAGAAGAAAUCGGUGGUUAUGUUGAAAAUGCAAGUCUGUUGUGGAGGAAUAAAAGUGGGAAAGGGCUCAAUUGAUCAUUCCUAAAAAUCCUUCACCGCAAGAGUUUCGUAAAAAGCUAGGGUUGCAAGGAGGCAAAAUGAUGACCCAUGUAAUAAAGUCAAAAAUUUCACUUCAAUACUUGUAUGAUAGAUUCGGUCAUGGGUACGCUCGAGAGAUAUAUAAUAUAGAAUCGCACUGUCCCGAUGCAUGGACCCAAAAGAGAAUUUUUGCAUUUGUCAUUUGUUUUCUGGGGCUAGUGGUUUUUCCUCGACGGGCUAAAAAAGAUAUUCACACCCGAAUUAUCAUAGUAGCGGAUGCAGUAUUUAAUGGAAUAGACGGUAAUCUUAGCACUAUAGUUUCUAUGAUCUUGGCUGACAUCUAUCGGUCUCUGAGCCACUGCAAAGACGGGGCUAGACAUUUCGAGGGAUAUAACUUGCUACUUCAAAUUUGGCUGAUUGAACACCACUAAAAAGUUAACGGAAAGCAAGCUCUUCGCAAGCCUAUUGAAGAUGACUAUAUUCUAUCACAUGACUUGAGAGUUACUUUAGGGGUCAAGAAGAUAAAACGCCCCGCUGAUGUUGAAGGAUGGGUUAAGCUGCUAGAUUGUUUGACAGAAGAUUCGGUCCAAUGUAUGUUUGACCGGUUCCCUUCCUCAGAACUGGUAGUUUAUGCCAAGGAAACCCCAUACUUGAUUUUGAUGGAAGUCUGUGGCCUUCGAUCCUACGUGCCAAUAAGGGUUCUUAGGCAAGCUGGGAGAACGCAGACUAUACCAAGGGUAAGCAACAUGAAUCGUUACAUGAUUGACUAUGAAAGCGAUAAAAUCCCGUUUGUUAAGGACAUUCUCAAUAUGUGGAAAAAAAAGAAAUUCAUGAUGGUGGACACUAUAGCAAUAGACAUGUAUCAUGCAGGUUGUGGCAUUGGUUACGUUGAGUGGUUGCAUGCUGACGUCAAAAGGUUAGUCUCUCCUAGCAUCAAGGGAGGGGAGCAUAUCAUUGACAAAGAGGCUCGAGCAUAAAUCUUAUAUCGUCGAUUCAAAAGAAAGGCUCAUGACUCUGAAAUCCGACAUCAAAAGCAACUUGAGGAUCACACAAAGGAACUGGAAGAAAAGGAUAAAGAGAUAGAGCAUUGGCAAUUUCAAGCUCUUAGCUUGGAGCAAAACAUGCUAGAGUUGAGCGAAGAAUUUCGUCGGCAAGGGGAAGAAUGUAUCAACACGGUUUUUGAGGUUGGAGGUAAUAUGGAAAAAGCAUACCUUGUGACAAGCCAUAGUCAUUUCGAGAAUGCCAUCCGAGCUGCGAAUAAGCCAAAGAUUGAUGAAGGAGCAUCUGCAAGCUAGACUAGGAGUUUUUCUUUCAUUGUUAUUAUUAUUAUUAUUAUUACUAUUAUUAUUAUUAUUUUGUCAUUUACUUAUGAACAAUUGUUGGAUUAUUAAUAAAAAUUUGGGGUAUUUGAGAGCAAAUGGAAUGAAACAUAUUGGCACAUUUAUUUCUUGAAUAUUCGCUAGGCCUACCUUGGGCAAAAAGAGGUCCCCACGUUAGGGCGUGCUUUAAAUAUUCUAAUUGAAUGGGUUUUCACUAUCUUUAUCUGUUGUGUGUUUACGUCCUACAUAUUUUUAUUUUGCUGCAGUUACUUCACCUUGCUAACUUGGCUAUUUUUUUUCUUUCCUUUGUUUUAUUUAUUUUUAAUUCCCUUUCCUAAAGGUUGAUUCGUGCAUCGUGGUUGUGUUAUCAUAUCAUACUCGAUCAAAAAGGCCUCCACCACCUCCUCCUCCUAGCAGUCCCAACAACAAAAGAAAAGGUCUAAUGAAAGAUGCAAGCGGUAUGGCUGGUAAAGAAAGGAUUCCCACUCCUAAGGAAACUGUGAAAACAUCUGACGGAAGUCUGACAGGACAGAACGAGUUGGCCCUCCAUUUGGAACAAAGAAAAUUGGAGAAAGUUUGAAACAUUGCAAAUUUAUCCCUCUCCCCGAACAUUCCAGACGUAAAUCACCAAGACGACUCCAACCAAACCACUACUGAAAAUAACCAACCUCCUCCUCAAAAUAAACCACCGCCCUUGAAUCCGCUGCCACAAGCUCCACAAAAUCCACCACCUCAAACCACUCAAUACUAUCAAAACCCUCCAAUAACCCAACACUAUCAAAACCGGCCACCCCAAUAAUGCAACACCAAAGUCAACCACCAUUCCAAACCUCGCAACACCACACCAAUCCAAUACUCCCACAAAACACCGUUUAUCCCCUUGCCCACAAUUCCCCACAAUCCAUUACUCAUACCCAUGAUCCAUCCCAAACAUUUAUCAAUAACCACCCAUAUACCCAAAUUCCCGAAACCUACCAAACCAACCCUAUAUAUGUGGAAACCUUACCAUACACGCCCCAACAAGCUCAAUGUACACCUGAGCCCACUGAAAAAGACAUGCUGAUUAAAAGUAUGACCGAAGAGUUGAAAAGGUUGACCGGAAGAAUCCAAACUAUUGAAACAGGGAAAUGUAUUGAAGGUUUGAAUUAUGAAGAUUUGUGCAUCCAACCUGACGUUGAGCUGCCCGAAGGCUACAAUCCUCCGAAGUUUGAAAUGUUCGAUGGUGCUGGUGACCCAAAGGCUCAUUUGAGAAUGUACUAUGAUAAGCUCAUGGGAGUAGGGAAAAACGAGCAAAUCCGCAUGAAGCUGUUUAUGAGAAGUCUUACUGGGGACGCUCUAUCUUGGUACAUUGGCCAGGAUCCAAAGAAAUGGCACAACUUGGUUAACAUGGCUUCUAAUUUCAUGGAUAGGUUCAGAUUCCACACUGAAAAUGCUCCAGACUUGUUCUAUAUUCAGAAUUUGAAGAAGAAACCCAAUGAAACAUUUAGAGACUAUGCUACUAGAUGGAGAUCUGAGGCAGCCAAGGUACAACCACCAUUAGAGGAGGGUCAAAUGAACAAAUUCUUUGUGCGAGCCCAGGACCCCCAAUACUAUGAGAGGUUGAUGGUUAUUGAUGAUCACAAGUUCUCGGAUGUCAUCAAGUUAGGAGAGAAAAUCGAAGAGGGUAUCAAAAGUGGCAUGGUGACCAAUUUUGAAGCUUUGCAGGCUACUAACAAGGCCCUGCAAUCGGGGGCAUUUUAGAACCGAAGAAGAAGAAAGAAGUGAGCGCCGUAAUGGUAGCACAAGGCCCGAGGACUCCCUUAACAUACUGAACACCUCCUCCUCCAUAUCUACACAUACCACCAACAUACCAUUAUCCCACAACCCCACAACAUGUCUAUAACACUCAACCCACAUACUUCCAAUCACCUCCACCUACCCACUAAAAAUUACCCGAGACCCAGAGCCAACUUCGAAAGAAGACUGCCUAGACAAUACACUCCACUUGCCGAACCUAUAGCCCAACUAUACGAAAGGCUAAAAGUUGCGGGCUAUAUCACAACCAUUCCCCCUGCUGCAGACACACCCAUUAAAUGGGUUAACCCCAACAAAAGUUGUGCUUACCAUUCUGGCAUGAAAGGGCAUACAUUGGAGCAAUGUCGCUCUCUGAAGGAUAAGAUACAAACACUUAUUGAUACUAAGGUAAUUCACUUAAAGUGGCCCACACCAAAUGUUCACAAUAACCCUCUUCCCCAUCACAAAGAGGGGGGGGGGGAGUACACAUGAUAGAAGUAGAUGAAGAAUGGGAUGAAGAAGGAUCCAUUGGUUUUAUUCGAGAUGGGGAUAUCGUGGUGGUCCCUCCUGUUGUACCUCCACCUGUUGUGGUACAAGUUUGUGCACCGUUUAAAGUUGAAUUGGCCGUAUCUCGGUCACCAUUUACUGUCAUGGUGAGUCCACCACCUGUUUAUAAUUCAAGAGUUGUUCCCUGAGACUAUGAGGCUGAGGCAAGGAGAAAAGGUAUGUCCAAGAUGGAGGAAGCGGGAGCCGCACAAGGUAUGACCAGAACUAGACGAGUCUACACGCCUGAGAACAUGACCCAAGGAGGAUCGAGUAAGGAGAAUACGCAAAGGUCACCUAUUGUAGAAGUAGGAGGCAAGGAGAUUUGGAGAAAGGUGCAAGCUAAAGAAUAUUAUGUGGUUGAACAUCUGAACAAGACUCCUGCUCAGAUAUCUAUUCUAUCCUUGUUGCAGAAUUCUGAUGCACAUAAGAAUGCUUUAAUGAAAGUUCUGAGUGAAGCAUAUGUGCCGGCCAAUAUCACAGGUAAAGACAUGGAAAUAUGGUGGGACAUAUAUUUGAGACCCACAAGAUUUCUUUUCAUGAAGAUGAACUACCUCCCGAGGGGCUCAACUAUAACAAAGCAUUGUAUAUCACUGUGCAACAUGAGAAUAAGUUCAUAUACCAAGUGUUGAUCGAUGGUGGUUCUUGUCUGAACAUAUGUCCAUUGACUACAUUGAGGAAAUUGGGUAUAAAUCUGUCAGAGAUACAUGAGGGAAGCAUGAAUGUGAAGGCUUUUGAUUGUUCCCAAAGGGCUAUUAUCGAAGAAAUCAAUUUGAGGUUGAAAAUCGGACCGAUGGUAUUCGAUGUGGAAUUCCAAGUGCUAGACAUCUCAACCAUCUACAACUUACUAUUGGGGAGGCCAUGGAUCUAUAUGGCUGGGGUUAUUGCUUCCACUCUGCACCAAGUUGUUAAGUUCGAAUGGGAUCAUCAAGAGGUGGUUGUUCACGGAGAUGGCAACAAUCCUAUAUACACCAAUCAAAUAGUCCCUGUGGUCAAUAUAGAGAGAAAUGUAGGAGGAGGUACCUUUUACACUGUCGAGCUAGUUGGACAUAUUAAACAGAGUAGAUGGUGCAGUGACCGAGUGAUGAGUAUGAUGUUUUGGUUGGGAUAUGAACCAGGUAGGGGCCUUGGUCCUAAACUGGAGGGAAUAGCUGAACCUGUGGAACCUCGUUUUCAAAAGACUACUUUUGGCUUGGGUUAUAAGUAUACCUCACGGGAAUUCAAGGACUGGACACCUCCUUGGAGCAGGUUUUACUAUCCUCUGCCAAAGACGAUACCACAUUUGCACCAAACCUUCCGAAAGGCUGAAACCAUUUGGGGAGAUGAAGCAGACAAUAUCCUGGAGGGGGUGAAGAACCUUUUCCUGUUAGAGCCCGAGGACAAUGGAUAUUGCAAUGUGGUACUAUUCGGGGAAGUGGAGGAAGACACAAUCUAGGCUAUGGAAGCUGGGGCUAUGCUCGGAAAUUGGACUGUCACUCCAUCCCGGGCUCGCCGAGCACCUGGGUAGCUUUUGGCGAUUUAGCAUCUCUAUGUUUUAAUUAUCAAAAAGCAAAAACAUUUAGCAUUUCAUGUUUUAAAUAAAUGCUCAAGUGAUUGAGCCUUAUUUUUAUGUUUAUUUUCGCAUUAUGUUUAAAACAAUUCACCAGUUUUAUUAAUGACGUAUUUACCUUUUCUACUUAUUUUUGUCUUGUUAUCUUUAUAUUUCAGCAAGACUAUUUUCUAUCCUGUUGAAUCUACAAGCGUGACAUGUAAUGAGACAACGAGACAUGACAUAAGUGAUUCAUUGUAUUGGGAGGACGAUACACCGCAUGAAGAGAUUGUCAAAGAGAUAGAGAAUUUUGAGAAUAAACCCAAGUCAAAUUUAGAAGAAACUGAGGUAGUUAACUUGGGUAAUGCCGCAACAGUUAGGGAAACUCGCAUUAGUUUUCAUCUAUCACCGACAGACAAGGAAUAGUAUAUUGAGUUCUUAAAAGAGUACGCUGAUAUCUUUGCUUGGUCAUAUGAUGAUAUGAUGGGUUUGAGUACAUCUAUAGUAUCCCAUAAGCUACCUACUAAUCCAAUGUGUCCACCUGUGAAGCAGAAACUCAGAAAUUUCAAACUGGAUCUAAGUUUGAAAAUCAAAGAGGAGGUUACCAAGCAAUUGGAAGCCAAGAUCCUCCAUGCUGUCAGAUACCCUAUUUGGUUAGCUAACAUUGUGCCCGUGCCUAAGAAAGAUGGAAAGGUUAGAGUUUGCGUCGACUACAAGGAUCUCAACAAGGCCAGUCCUAAAGAUGACUUUCCAUUGCCAAACAUACACAUCUUGAUCAACAAUUGUGCAAAGCAUGAACUCCAAUCAUUCAUAGAUUGCUUUGCCAGAUAUCACCAGAUUAGAAUGGACGAAGAGGAUGCUGAAAAGACUGCUUUUAUUACGCCAUGGGGGGUAUAUUGUUACAAAGUUAUGCCGUUUGGUUUGAAGAAUGCUGGGGCGACAUAUAUAAGAGCCAUAACUACCAUCUUUCAUGACAUUAUCCACAAAGAAAUUGAGGUAUAUGUAGACGACGUCAUAAUCAAAUCAAAGAGGAUCUCAGACCAUUUGACUGAUCUUAGGAAGUUUUUUGACAGACUACGGAGAUAUAACUUGAAGCUAAAUCCCGCAAAAUGUGCUUUUAGGGUACCCGCUGGCAAAUUAUUGGAUUUCAUUAUCAGUCGUCGAGGAAUCAAAUUGGAUCCGUCAAAGAUCAAAGCUAUUCAAGAGUUACCACUGCCGAGGAGUAAGAAAGAUGUGAUGAGUUUCUUGGGACGCCUCAACUACAUCAGCCGUUUCAUAGCCCAAUCAACCGUGAUUUGUGAGCCAAUCUUCAAGAUGCUGAGGCAGGAUGCUGCGACUGAAUGGACCGAAGAAUACCAAAAAUCUUUUGAUAAGAUCAAGGAAUACUUAUCUCAACCUCCUGCUCUGGUUCCUCCUAAGCCUGGAAGACCGUUGUUAUUAUACUUGUCCGUGCUAGAUGGGGCGUUCGGAUGUGUUUUAUGACAACAUGAUGAAACUGGCAGAAAGGAGCAAGCAAUAUACUAUCUAAGCAAGAAUUUCACACCAUAUGAGGCCCGCUAUUCAUUGUUGGAACUCACAUGUUGUGCCUUAACAUGGGUAACACAAAAGUUGAAACAUUAUUUUUGUGCACAUACUACCUAUCUGAUCUCGAGGAUAGAUCCUUUGAAAUACAUCUUCCAGGAGCCUAUGCCUACCGGGAAACUAGCAAAAUGGCAUAUAUUGUUGAGUGAAUUUGACAUUACCUAUGUCACUCAAAAGGAAGUCAAAGGGCAAGCACUGGCAGACCAUCUAGCAGAGAAUCCCGUGGAUGAGGAAUACAAACCAUUAAGGACAUACUUCCCCGAUGAAGAAGUGCUAUUCAUUGGGGAAGACAUCUCAGAAGCAUAUGAUGGUUAGAGAAUGUUCUUUGAUGGGUCCGCAAACUUCAAAGGAGUAGGAAUUGGAGCGGUGCUAGAAUCAGAGACCGGUUAACAUUACCCGGUAUCUGCCAAACUCAGGUUCCCGUGCACCAACAAUAUGGCGGUAUACGAAGCUUGUAUUCUAGGACUCAGGCUAGCCAUCGACAUGAACAUUCAGGAAAUACUGGUAAUCGGAGAUUCAGAUUUGCUGAUACAUCAAGUGCUUGGAGAAUGGGCUACCAAGAACUCAAAAAUACUGCCUUAUUUACACUGUGUGCAAGAUUUAAUCAAGAGAUUUGUCAAGAUAGAAUUCAAGAAUGUUCCUCGGACUCAGAACGAGUUUGCAGACGCCUUGGCCAUAUUAUCAUCCAUGAUUCAUCAUCCGGAUAAAAGCUACAUUGAUCCUAUACCUAUAGAUAACCGCAAGCAACCUUCCUAUUGUACUCAUGUUAAAGAAGAGUUCGAUGGGAAGCCAUGGUUUUAUGAUAUCAAGGAGUACUUGGAGAAGGGAGAAUAUCCAAAAAGUACUACACAUGUUCAAAAAUGCACAUUGUUGAGGUUAGUUAAUCAUUUCUUUGGGAGUGGAGGAAUCUUGUAUAGUAGGACCUCCGAUCUAGGUUUACUAAGAUGUGUGGACGCUAAGGAGGCAUCUAGACUACUUGAAGAAAUCCAUGCUGGAACAUGCGGACCUCAUAUGAAUGGUUUCACUUUGGCAAAGAAGAUAUUGAGAGUUGGAUAUUUCUGGAUGACUAUGGAAACCGACUGCAUACGGUAUGUACAAAAAUGCCAUCAAUGUCAAGUUCAUGCCGAUAUGAUAUGAGUUCCGCCCAACGAACUCAAUGCGACAAGUUCUCCUUGGCCUUUCGCUGCUUGUGGUAUGGAUGUUAUUGGUCCCAUCGAUCCCCCCUCCCCCGCAUCUAAUGGACAUAGAUUCAUCCUAGUGGCCAUUGAUUACUUUACCAAAUAGGUGGAAGCCACGUCAUAUAAGUCGGUCACCAAGAAAGUUGUAGCGGAUUUUGUCCGAGAUCAUCUUGUAUGUCGAUUUGGGGUCCCCAAAUCAAUCAUUACAGACAAUACUGCCAACCUCAAUAGUGAUCUGAUGCAAGCUGUGUGUGAGAAGUUUAAGAUCAAGCACCGCAACUCUACCGCUUAUAGGCCUCAGAUGAAUGGAGCUGUAGAGGCCGCUAACAAGAACAUCAAGAAGAUACUACUCAAAAUGAUAAAUAACCACAAGCAUUGGCAUGAGAAGCUACCUUUUGCAUCACAAUCCGCACUUCCACUGGGGCAACACCAUACCUUUUAGUAUAUGGUACUGAAGCUGUGAUACCCGCUGAAGUAGAAAUACCAUCUUUGAGAAUUAUACAAGAAGCUGAGUUGAGUGAUGCUGAAUCGAUACAGAGCAGAUAUGACCAAUUAGCACUUAUUGACGGAAAAAGAAUGAAUGCAGUAUGUCAUGGUCAACUCUAUCAGAAUAAGAUGGCUAAAGCCCAGGCAAUUCACACCAGGGCAAUUGAUUUUGAAGAGGAUUUUUCCGCAUCAAGAUGAGGCGAAGGGUAAGUUUUCACCAAAUUGGCAAGGCCCUUAUAUGGUUCAUCGAGUCUUGACAGGAGGGGCACUCAUACUAGCAGAAAUGGAUGGAGAAGUAUGGCCAAAACCUCUAAAUUCAGACACCGUCAAAAGAUAUUACAUUUAGAGACAAUCUUUUGUAUUUCUGUCUGAUGUACCAUGAACUACGUUUGACCUGAUUCCUGUUUAAGAGGGGAUACGUAGGAAGCUCUGUGGGUUCGUCCAUAUUAUAAUAAAAAUAUAAUUUUCCCUUCAAGACAGAAUCUGGGAUAGAAAUUUUGAGGGAGCCCUCAAAAUUUCAUAAAGAAAUUUGGCAUUACAGCAUCAGAACAUUGCCUGAAAGCAUAGAGAGCUAGAGUCAUCUGAACUGGGGCAGAAAUUUUGAGGGUGCCCUCAAAAUUUGAUUCAACAUAAAGAAAUUUGGCAUUACAGCACCAAAACAUCGCCAGAAAGCAUAUCAGAGCCAGAGUCAUCUGAGUUGGGGCAGAAUUUUGAGGGAGCACUCAAAAUUUCAAUCAACAUGAAGAAGUUGCAGUGUCUCAAAACAUGUCACAAUUUUACGAUUCAAUAAAAGCUUUUUUUUAUGUAUGUAUCUUAUGCAUUGUCACUUAUUUUAUUAAAAACUGGUUUUUAUUUAUUUAUUUAUUUUGAAAAAAAAAGAAGAUAACUCCUAAAUAACUUGUUUCCAAAAUCACUUGUGUUAGCCAAAUACGUUACCUAGGUGAAGCCCAGGGAUUCAAAGGCUAAAGUCGGGAGAAAGGACAACACGCGAAACCAAAAGCACGAAUCAACCUUUCCCUCAAACUUACAAAUUUUCUUUGAAUGCAGGAAUAUUAGGAACAACAUUGUCAAGAAUACUUGCAAAGGAUAUACGAUGAAAUCACUAUCUGCACAACGACAUACAUUGCGAAGAAGUUUUUUGUAAAAAUAAGAAUUGCUAAACGUUGUUUUCAUCCUUGCACAAGGUUUAAACACUGACUUCAUCCUUGCAUAAGUUUAAAUACUGCCCUUAUCCGUGCAUAAGUCUAAGUAUUGCCUCACAUACUUGCAUAAGUCUAAACUCUGCAUUGUAUGGCUGAAAGAUCGCCCCAUACUUCAUCUGCAUGACUGAAAGAUUGCCCCAUAAUGCAUUGCAUGGCUGAAAGAUCGCCCCAUUCUGUAUUGCAUGGCUGAAAGAUCACCUCAUACUGCAUUGCAUGGCUGAAAGAUCGCCACAUACUGUAUCUGCAUGGCUAAAAGAUUGCCCCAUACUGCAUUGCAUGGCUGAAAGAUCGCCACAUACUGCAUUUGCAUGGCUGAAAGAUUGCCCCAUACCGCAAUGCAUGGCUGAAAGAUUGCCCCAUACUGCAUCUGCAUAGCUGAAAGAUCGCCACAUACUGCAUUGCAUGGCUGAAAGAUCGCCCCAUAUAAUGCAUGGCUGAAAGAUUGCCCCAUACUGCAUCUGCAUAGCUGAAAGAUCGCCACAUACUGCAUUGCAUGGCUGAAAGAUCGCCCCAUAUUGCAUUGCAUGGCUGAACGAUCGCCUCAUACUGCAUUGCAUGGCUGAAAGAUCGCCUCAUAUUGCAUUGCAUAGUUAGAAAGAUCGCCUCAUACUGCAUUGCAUGGCUGAAAGAUCGCCUAAUACUGCAUUGCAUGGCUGAAAGAUCGUCUCAUACUGCAUUGCAUGGCUGAAAGAUCACCUCAUACUGCAUCAGCAUGGCUGAAAGAUCGCCUUAUACUACAUAUCAUGGGCUGAAAGAUCGCCACAUACUGCAUUGCAUGGCUGAAAGAUCGCCCUAUACUGCAUUGCAUGGCUGAAAGAUCGCCUCAUACUGCAUUGCAUAGUUAGAAAGAUCGCCUCAUACUGCAUUGCAUGGCUGAAAGAUCGCCUCAUACUGCAUUGCAUAGCUGAAAGAUCGCCUCAUACUGCAUUGCAUGGCUGAAAGAUCACCUCAUACUACAUAUCAUGGGCUGAAAGAUCGCCAAAUUAUCCAAAGGCGUCAUCGUCCAAAGGCACCAUUUUCAUGGCUUGAGGACACCAUUUCAUGGCCUAAGGAUUUCAAAGUUACACAUUAUUAUUCAAAGGCAUCAUAGUCCAAAGGCAUCAUCCUCAUGGCUUAAAGACACCAUUUCAUGGCCUUCGAAUCCCUUUAUUAUACGUUUCAUGGCCCAGGACAUCAUGGUCUAAGGACAUCAUUCUCAUCGUCCGAUGAUAGCAUUCAUGGUCCAAAGGGAACCCUAAUCAUGUUUGAAUCUCACAGUCACAUCUAUGAUAUUACGACUAUAUGUGUACAUGUUUUCUGCAUUCGUUGUAUUUUAAGUUUUGCAGGUAAUACGGAAGGUAACCUUUCUUCAAAUGGGAGCAAUUCUCGCUCCGAUUUCCGUUCAACGUUCACAUUCUUUUCAUACCCUGUAUAAUUGCCAACCCAUAGUCAAGCAUUUCUUUUUUGUAGUGACUCCCUAUCAUAUUUCCUUAAGCAGUAACGGUCGUCUUCAUGUCAUUGCUGCUCUUACAUUCCUUUUGUGACACCAACCAUUCACAACACCAUCCUAUUCAAAAAAACCAUUCUUCGAAACAUACAACUUUUCUUAGCGACUUCAGAGAUAUUGUUCGCCUUUGGAUCUAGAACUACACAUGGCCCGAUUCUCGUAAAGCCCGAGAUAUGUAGGCAAGUAGAAAAUCGGAGUUCGGCUACAAUAUUUUCAAAAUUCUUAUUCCUCUUUUUCUUACACAAACUAUCUCAUCAGUCGGGCAAAUUUGGUUACUAUGUCAAUUUCUUUGCCAGAUAACUCUUUCAUCAUUCUCGGGCAAAGAGGGGUAGUUGUUGACAUCCAGUUUUGUCCCUCCUUUCUUCUAAUUUAUUUAUUUGAGCUUCUAUAUCAUUAGUAUAUCAAAUGUGUUACUUUAACUUAUUUUAUAACAAUAUAAGGUCAAUUUUUCAUAUUCAUUUAUAAUUUUCUCUAUUACUACUCUUGUUACUAUUUUCUUAUUAUUCUUAUUAUUACCUUCUAAUUACUAUUACUACCACUACUACAUAUGUUAUUAUUAUUAUUAUUAUUAUUAUUAUUAUCAAAAGUCAUCUCACUUGUGCAUUUACGAGGUUUUUUCUAGAGUUGAUCAAGCAAGUUAUACUUUUCAUCAUAAUAUAUUUAGUUUCACAUUGCAUUAAAUCUACUUUUAUUUUACAAAUAUUUAUUUGAGCAUCUUCCUACUUAUAGGUCACGAUACUUUAGCAACUUAUUUUAGUACAUAGCUUUUAUUCAUAUGGUCUUCUUGCUUUGAUCAAUAAUUAAUAUUUAUUUCUUUUUAGCUAACAUAUUAUUAGAAUUUUAACAAAUAGAUACAUCUUCAAGAGAAGCCCAAUUAUAUAAAAGAAGAAGGAAAAAGUACAUCCUUCUCUAACCCAAAAUUUCACAACUCAUCAGAUUAUCCCUAACCCAUUAACCCAUUAAUACCCAAAACCCUUCACUCAAAUUUCUUUCUCCCAGAACCCAUGACUAACUCAAGUCAACCCUUUCCAAUUCCCCUUCGUUCAAAACCGUACCGGCAAAUUCAUCUCGUUUCUUCCUCAUUUGAUUUAUUAUAUUCUCAUUCCUUUUGUACGUCCUUUCUUACUUUAUUUUCCUUACUUAUCUUCCUUAUCGAAUCCGUAAAACAAUUGCUUUUUUACCUUAUUUAUGAGCCAAUAUAUUAGUUCCAUUUUUAGUCAAAAUCGCUGACGCGCCUGAAAAUUCACCUACUCUUCUUUUCAUUCACAGGUUCGGACUUAUUUGUUAAAUGUAGACAGGUUUGAGGUAGGCGUUUCAUUUGUUACUGAUUGGAUUAUAAUUUUUGAAGUUCAAUAACAUAUAUUUCUCUCAUGAUUUUCGGUUCAAAUUCCACUGAUUAUGGGCAAGUAUUUUAGUCCUUUUCUGUUAAAAUAAUC